CAGCAUAUUAUGUUGGCUGUCCACAUGUGUAAACGGCAUGUGUUAGCAANGGCCGGGCAAGACCGGUCCCAGCGGCGCGGUAACACCGGCGGCCCGAGUGGUAAUCACUUUUAUUGGGUCUAAAGGGUCCGUAGCCGGUUUGAUCAGUUCUUCGGGAAAUCUGACAGCUCAACUGUUAGGCUUCCGGGGAAUACUGUCAGACUUGGGACCGGGAGAGGUAAGAGGUACUACAGGGGUAGGAGUGAAAUCUUGUAAUCCCUGUGGGACCACCAGUGGCGAAGGCGUCUUACCAGAACGGGUNCGNCAGCGUGUAGAGGGACGAAAGCUGGGGGCACGAACCGGAUUAGAUACCCGGGUAGUCCCAGCCGUAAACGAUGUUCGCUAGGUGUCAGGGACGGUGCGACCGUUUCUGGUGCCGUAGGGAAGCCGUGAAGCGAACCACCUGGGAAGUACG
rnacentral:rRNA from 1 species